UGCACGCACACACGCAGAGAGGAAAAGAAAAGGUCAGCGUUUUCUCUCGAAAGACAAGAUGUUCUGUAAGCCUGAGCUCACCUCCACCAAGGAUCCAGUGCAGCUGUCAGAAGGAUCAGGCAGGGCCGCCCUGCACCAUCUGCCCGUGUACAACACACCACCGACCUGUACAGUGGUAAUCCUCGGCACCCUGCCUGCUCUUCUUUCAAAGCUUAUCUCUCCCGUUUAAUACCACAUUUAUGAUAACGAUUGACAGGUAGCUUUGGCUGCCUUGUCUUCGCAUCUGGCUUUUAUCUCAUAAGAUGCUGACAGUUUUUGUCUGAAUGUCAAGCUGAACAGGGACAUGGAUAUGGUUCAGUGUCUGGACAAGAAAGGUCAGGGGCCGCCAUUUAAGGUCAUGACUGCAGGUCGGAGGAAGAGAACUGAAAACAGUGCAAAGGAGGGCUGGACGGGCAGGUGCAUUCAAUCAGAGCUAAUUACCAGUCUUCAUAAGGAGCUGAAACCGGGAGGAGGGCGUCAGUUCAUUUAAGCUUCUGGGUGAAAGCCAUCCAGUUUAAGGCCUGGAAACCCAAGCCUCGAAUCAGAGUCUGAGAGACACCUGGAACGCUCUCUUUCCAGAGAAGAACCCCAGAUCCAUCGGUCAGCCCUCCUGCCUGCGCUCGCCUACCUGUCCACCCUCCAACAAACCAACACUGAGAGAGAAUCUGGACCUGCACCAACAACCUGGACCACCGAACAUCACUUCUUCCCCCACACCAAGCCCUAGCCGCCACCUCCAACUCACCAGACCUCCGAACAGCCGAAAUCCUAUCUUGUCCAUUUCCAUUUUUUCAAUAAACUUUUUCUCAUAAUCCAACUGUCUCAGUUUUGCGCCUCUUCAGAGUCACACGUUCUAAUCAUGACAUAAAGGAAAUAAUUGAGAAUGUCUUCAAUUCAGGUAAUCUCAAGGCACUUCACAGAGACAGUUCUCCCUUCUCUCGAAGGUAAGCCAGCUGAUUGCAUUGACUUGACGGCAAUCCUUCACACUGACCAUGCAUGUAGUGAGAGUGGAGAGGAAAACUACUUUUAAAUAAUUUAAGAAACCUCCAGCAGGACCAGGCUCAGUGUAAGACUUCUGUUCAAGGAGAGGUUCAAGCAGAUGGAAGCAG